UUCAGCCUACGGGGGGCAGCAGUCGGGAAUAUUGCGCAAUGGAGGAAACUCUGACGCAGUGACGCCGCGUGCAGGAAGAAGGUUUUCGGAUUGUAAACUGCUUUAGACAGGGAAGAAAGAAAUGACGGUACCUGUAGAAUAAGCUCCGGAUAACUACGUGCCAGCAGCCGCGGUAAUACGUAGGGAGCAAGCGUUAUCCGGAUUUAUUGGGUGUAAAGGGGGAGUAGACGGGUAUACAAGUUAGUAGUGAAAUCUAUAGGCUUAACUGAGGAACUGCUACUAAAACUCUA
rnacentral:rRNA from 1 species